GCGCGCCUAACACAUGCAAGUCGAACGGAGCUUAGAGAGCUUGCUUUUUAAGCUUAGUGGCGAACGGGUGAGUAACGCGUGAGUAACCUGCCCUAGAGUGGGGGACAACAGUUGGUAACGACUGCUAAUACCGCAUAAGCCCACGGUGCCGCAUGACACUGAGGGAAAAGGAUUUAUUCGCUUUAGGAUGGACUCGCGUCCAAUUAGCUAGUUGGUGAGGUAACGGCCCACCAAGGCGACGAUUGGUAGCCGGACUGAGAGGUUGAACGGCCACAUUGGGACUGAGACACGGCCCAGACUCCUACGGGAGGCAGCAGUGGGGGAUAUUGCACAAUGGGGGAAACCCUGAUGCAGCGACGCCGCGUGGAGGAAGAAGGUUUUCGGAUUGUAAACUCCUGUCGUUAGGGACGAUAAUGACGGUACCUAACAAGAAAGCACCGGCUAACUACGUGCCAGCAGCCGCGGUAAAACGUAGGGUGCAAGCGUUGUCCGGAAUUACUGGGUGUAAAGGGAGCGCAGGCGGGAAGACAAGUUGGAAGUGAAAACCAUGGGCUCAACCCAUGAAUUGCUUUCAAAACUGUUUUUCUUGAGUAGUGCAGAGGUAGAUGGAAUUCCCGGUGUAGCGGUGGAAUGCGUAGAUAUCGGGAGGAACACCAGUGGCG
rnacentral:rRNA from 1 species